rnacentral:rRNA from 1 species
UGGGGAAUAUUGCACAAUGGGCGCAAGCCUGAUGCAGCCAUGCCGCGUGUGUGAAGAAGGCCUUCGGGUUGUAAAGCACUUUCAGCGAGGAGGAAGGUGGUGAGCUUAAUACGCUCAUCAAUUGACGUUACUCGCAGAAGAAGCACCGGCUAACUCCGUGCCAGCAGCCGCGGUAAUACGGAGGGUGCAAGCGUUAAUCGGAAUUACUGGGCGUAAAGCGCACGCAGGCGGUUUGUUAAGUCAGAUGUGAAAUCCCCGGGCUCAACCUGGGAACUACAUUUGAAACUGGCAAGCUAGAGUCUCGUAGAGGGGGGUAGAAUUCCAGGUGUAGCGGUGAAAUGCGUAGAGAUCUGGAGGAAUACCGGUGGCGAAGGCGGCCCCCUGGACGAAGACUGACGCUCAGGUGCGAAAAGCGUGGGGAGCAAAACAGGAUUAGAUACCCUGGUAGUCCACGCUGUAAAACGAUGUCGAUUUUGGAGGUUGUGCCCUUGAGGCGUGGCUUCCGGAGCUAACGCGUUAAAUCGACCGCCUGGGGAGUACGGCCGCAAGGUUAAAAACUUAAAGGAAUUGACGGGGUCAUAGCUGUUUCCU